GGAGAAUCAUUUAAUAUUGAUAAUUAUUUAGAAGCUAAUAGGGUAUAUGAAAAUUGUAAAUCAACAAGGAAGACUAGCCAACUUACAGGUAUUCCUAGAUCAAACUUUAUGAGAUAUUAUAAGAGAUAUCAAGAAAGUGGCAUACUUACUAGUGUAGGACAAAAUAAUAAAAAGAGGAUAUUCACAGAAGAAGGAGAGGGAG